UCUCAGUCUUGGGGAGACGUGGCUGUAAAGAGACUGCUGUUGGGGAGGUCUCUGUGCCUGAGCAUCUCCAGUCUUUUUCCCCUCUCGGUGAUCAGUGAUGGUUGAGUCCAGCUCCUUCUGCUGCUAAGCACUCCAGUCUGUCUGCUUUGCUCUCGCUCCCUCUCUCCCCCUCUCUCACUCCCUCUCUCUCUGGUCCCCAGCCACAGCCAGUCCUCCUUCCAGCUCCUUGGAUAAGCUCGCCGCUCUCUUACCCUGUCGCUGUCCGUUCAGCACCACCUCGCUCACUCGCUGCCUUUCACCCUUAGGAUCUAGAAAGGCAUUCUCUACAAUCUUGCAGAUCUACCAGUCCUGAUCCCUGCAGUGGCUUCAGGCUGUGCAUGAUGACAUGAGAGCCAACAGCGAUUAUCGCCAAGUGCAAGCGGCGUCAGACCUGUUUUUGGAACCUGGAGCACUACCAUAUAUUCUGGCUAUUCUGCGCUCCCGUGGCUUGCAUUAGUGAGAUUUACAGAAGACGG